rnacentral:misc_RNA from 1 species
UCGCGGCUUAUCACCGGCAGUCUCCUUAGAGUGCUCAACUAAAUGGUAGCAACUAAGGACGGGGGUUGCGCUCGUUGCGGGACUUAACCCAACAUCUCACGACACGAGCUGUCGACAGCCAUGCAGCACCUACGCAGCAGUCCCUUGCGGGAAAACGAUAUUUCUACCGCUGUCCACUGCGCUUCGAGCCCAGGUAAGGUUCUUCGCGUUGCGUCGAAUUAAACCACAUACUCCACCGCUUGUGCGGACCCCCGCCAAUUCCUUUGAGUUUCAAUCUUGCGAUCGUACUUCCCAGGUGGGAUACUUAAUGCUUUCGCUCAGACACUUGCUGUGUAUCGCAAAUGUCGAGUAUCCAUCGUUUAGGGCGUGGACUAC